rnacentral:lncRNA from 1 species
UGGCUGCGUUGCAAUAACACUUCUUUACAAAAACGGGCUGCAGGCACCAUUUCAUGUCUAACUUCACCUAGAAAUUCUUGUCCAGAAAGUAAAGUUGCAAAUAACUUCAUUAUCAACUCUUCAAUAGAAAGCAUCAGACAAGAGUUUACACCCCAAGAUUCUCUGAACCCCUUGCUAUGAAAGCCUCACCUCGUGUCCAUCAGUCUUCAGCUCUUGAGCCUUACACAAUCCUAAUCAAGUCCCCACGUUGAAAGAUCCGCCGUCCACCCCACAUCAGCCUCUCGUGACUAUGCUGCCUUUGCUCCUCUCCCUCUGCUCUCGAGACUGUCGAGCAGCAGAAUCCCUUACUGUGAAUCACUAUAAUUAGCCUUGUCUUACUAACGGGCUGUUCUGGUGACAUCUUGGGGAGCCAGCAUUCGACAACCUUGGAGAUCCCACUGGGAUCCAGUUGCGACCUCCUCACCGCCCGGCCCAAGACCCUCGGCGUGGAAACAGCCACUCGUGGAGGCUCCCUGGCCUCCCUCCCAGGUGGAGGCGCUCUGACUGCAGGGGUGAGGCACUCCUCGACUCCCGCCAGUCCACCUCAUACUGACGACCUCCCUGCCUUGACAUGUACCUGAAUGCUCUGCUCCUCCUAAGGUCACGCUCAUGUCCCACCAUGUCCACAAG